UUGCUCUUAUGAAGUUAGCGGCGGACGGGUGAGUAACACGUGGGUAACCUGCCCAUAAGACUGGGAUAACUCCGGGAAACCGGGGCUAAUACCGGAUAACAUUUUGAACCGCAUGGUUCGAAAUUGAAAGGCGGCUUCGGCUGUCACUUAUGGAUGGACCCGCGUCGCAUUAGCUAGUUGGUGAGGUAACGGCUCACCAAGGCAACGAUGCGUAGCCGACCUGAGAGGGUGAUCGGCCACACUGGGACUGAGACACGGCCCAGACUCCUACGGGAGGCAGCAGUAGGGAAUCUUCCGCAAUGGACGAAAGUCUGACGGAGCAACGCCGCGUGAGUGAUGAAGGCUUUCGGGUCGUAAAACUCUGUUGUUAGGGAAGAACAAGUGCUAGUUGAAUAAGCUGGCACCUUGACGGUACCUAACCAGAAAGCCACGGCUAACUACGUGCCAGCAGCCGCGGUAAUACGUAGGUGGCAAGCGUUAUCCGGAAUUAUUGGGCGUAAAGCGCGCGCAGGUGGUUUCUUAAGUCUGAUGU
rnacentral:rRNA from 1 species